CGGCAACAAUUUAACUGCCAACUACGACAGUUACGCUCUCGCUGCAUAAACAGCGGAACGCGGAAACCGGCUCCGCCGCCUUGAGGGGCCGAAUUUCCGUCGCAAUCAAGGCUGGUCAACCUUCGCUUUCGGACGGGGCGCGACGAGAUAUUUCCGGAAUACGGAUGGGCCGCAGGCCGCAUUGCCAAACUCAUCCCGACAAUAUAAAACGCGGCUAAACCUGUAGAGAUCUGUAUUUCGCGUAUUAGGACGCGGGUUCGACUCCCGCCACCUCCAAAA
rnacentral:tmRNA from 1 species